CUUGUUGGCAAGAAGCAUACCUGCAAUUUCUUCUAAGGAAUUAGCUCUCAUAUCCAGGAGAACUGUACCAUUCAAGAUACAACUUCUCAAUUCAAAC